rnacentral:tRNA from 1 species
GGGGCCGUAGCUCAGUGGUUAGAGCAGGGGACUCAUAAUCCCUCGGUCGAAGGUUCGAUCCCUUCCGGCCCCACC